UUGCGCAGCUUGGCAACUAUACUGAUGCAGGUACCUUUUGCAAAUGGUCGCAUGCGCUUGGACACAUGGAGGAGAGAAUCAUUUUCGCAGUAUCCUCAAAACCGUGUAUUGUUGACACAACUGCUGACAGCUACAUAAACACAAAAAUGCUGCUUGGAGACAAGUGUCCACGAUAGUAGGAUUGCCAGGUCAGUUUAGUAGUAACUUGUGCUAGAUGUGGCUAGUUAGCGUUAGCUAGCUAGCUAACCUAGCCAAUGAGAUAUGUGUGUGUGAAAUAAAUAGUCAAAUAAAUGAUGCUAGUUACUACCCCUGAUACCUUUACCAAAUAAUCAUGUUUGAAAGAGUGUGAGUGUGUAUUCUAGAUAAAUAGUAAUAGAAAUGGUAGAUACUACUGUACCCCUGAUAAUUUGGUCAGAUAACCGUGUGUGUGUGUCUGAACAGUAGGUGACAUGUCCAUGAUAGCUAUCUAAAAACUAUAGUUAGACUAGGUAAUGGUUUGGCUUAUCAUGUUCAUGUCUAUGUAGAAGAAGACUGUAGGAGGAAGUGGAGAGGACUCAGGGACAGGUAUCAGAGAGAGAAGGGCAGAGAAAGAGAAGAGGUCUGGGUCAGCAGCUUCAGGCCAGCAGCCUUGGCGCUUCUGCCACAUUCUUUGUGGAUCCAUUUAUUGUGCCCAUGGCAACGAGUGGCAAUUUUAUAGCCAGACCCUCUACUACGUCAUCCACAAGUGUUGUCGCCACCGGUGCAUCAAGACCCUCAACGUCACCUACAAAUGCAACCAUCACCUCCACCAGAGGAGUGAGACCCUCUACAACAUCAUACAUGAGUAUGACCACCACCGGUGCAGCCAUGGAAGAUGAUGAAAUGGAGGAAGCACCUCUGGAUCUAGGACCACCUGAGAUUAUUAUGAACCUCACGGAAGUGGCCACUGAGGACCUGAUGCUCACAGGAAGGAGAAUGAAGAGACCCUCUUUGCCAUGAGCCUGGUGCCAACACUGAAGAGGCUGCCUCAGCAAAGAAAAGCAGCAGUCAAGGUUAAAAUGCUUUUCGAAGCCGAGUUCAAUUAAAUAGAGUCAAUUUAGCCGACCAGCUCACAGGAAGGACAGGAAGAGGAGAGGAGUUGUCUGGUUGUUGUUUUGACCUGCCUCAUUGUACCUUUCUUUUCACACACGUCACUUCCUUUUAAAUUCAGUCAAUUCAUAAAGUCAUUUGUUUAUAAAGUCUUAGGAUAGCAUUCAUUAUUAGUGUUACAUACAUUUCUGAAUUGAAACUCACACAGUUUUCACAGAUGCUCUUGGUCUCUUAUGAGACUAAAGGUCAAUAUUUCUUUCAUUUAAAACCACUUGAAAACCAGGGUGUUAAAACUGUUUGUGAAGUUAUGUUCCAUCGACUGGUCCGUGACGUCCAGAGGCCACUUGUUUGUUUAGCUGUGUUAUGGCUACAUAUUAUUUAAUUUUUUUUCAGAGACAGAGACACACACACACCUCUUUGUACCUCAGAUCUCCAGUGCCCUGCCCUCUCUCUCUUUAUGGCCAUGUCUGAAGUUCCCCUACUACAUCUAGGCUUUAUGAGUAGUCCCUGUAUCGGUCUGCAGUUGUGCCAAAAUGACAUGCUCUUGUUGUUCUCUUACAGAUUACAGGCUACACAUUCAUUAAAAAAAUAAUAAUAAUUGCACGCACGCACACAACUCUUUCAAUAGUUUUAUUUUUUUUAAACAUUUUUACAACACGCAUACCUGUCAUGUUCUUUCCUGUACUUGAAUACUUAUUAAAUUAUAAUGUUUUCAUA